AGCUUUACUUGCCAGUUUGGUGAAUUAGAAGUGUACACUAAUGAUGAGAAAACCAGGUCUUUCCUGGGUCUAAAAGUUCAGCAUGGUUUUAAAAAUUUGUGCAGCUUGGUGGAAAAUGUUGAUAACACCUUGGAGGAGUUCCAUCUACAAAAGUAUUAUAAGAAUCCAUCAUUUCAUAUGAGUGUUCUAUGGGCACUGGGGGAUAUCACACAAGAGGUCACUCCUAAGAUUAGGGCAUCACUCGA